rnacentral:rRNA from 1 species
AAAACCAAUGCCCUUCGGGGCUCCUUGGUGAAUCAUAAUAACUUAACGAAUCGCAUGGCCUUGCGCCGGCGAUGGUUCAUUCAAAUUUCUGCCCUAUCAACUUUCGACGGCUGGAUCUUGGCCUACCGUGGUAUCAACGGGUAACGGGGAAUUAGGGUUCGACUCCGGAGAGGGAGCCUGAGAAACGGCUACCACAUCCAAGGAAGGCAGCAGGCGCGCAAAUUACCCAAUCCCGACACGGGGAGGUAGUGACAAUAAAUACUGAUACAGGGCUCUUUUGGGUCUUGUAAUUGGAAUGAGUACAAUUUAAAUCCCUUAACGAGGAACAAUUGGAGGGCAAGUCUGGUGCCAGCAGCCGCGGUAAUUCCAGCUCCAAUAGCGUAUAUUAAAGUUGUUGAGGUUAAAAAGCUCGUAGUUGAACCUUGGGCCUGGCCGGCCGGUCCGCCUCACCGCGUGCACUGGUCCGGCCGGGCCCUUCCCUCUGCGGAACCGCAUGUCCUUCACUGGGCGUGUCGGGGAGGCAGGACUUUUACUUUGAAAAAAUUAGAGUGCUCAAGGCAGGCCAAUGCUCGAAUACAUUAGCAUGGAAUAAUAGAAUAGGACGUGCGGUUCUAUUUUGUUGGUUUCUAGGACCGCCGUAAUGAUUAAUAGGGACAGUCGGGGGCAUCAGUAUUCAAUCGUCAGAGGUGAAAUUCUUGGAUUGAUUGAAGACUAACUACUGCGAAAGCAUUUGCCAAGGAUGUUUUCAUUA